rnacentral:lncRNA from 1 species
UCAGAGAAAACAUUCAGCAUUUGGUUUUUGGAGAUUGGCUAACUUCACUUAGCAUUAUCUUCUCCAACGCCAUCCAUUUACCUGCAAAUUCCAUGAUUUUAUUCUCUUUUAUUGCUGAAUAAAAUUUCAUUGUGUAUAUAUGCCACAUUUUUUUUAUCUAUUCUUCCACUGAAGGGUUGGCUCCACAGUUUAGCUAUUGUGAAUUGUGCUGCUGUAAACAUUGAUGUGGCUGUUUCCCUGUAGUAUGCUGUUUUUAAGCCUUUGGAUAUAGUCCGAGGAGAGGGAUAGCUGGGUCAAAUGGUGGUUCCAUUCCCAGAUUUCCAAGAAAUCUCCAUACUGCUUUCCAUAUUGCUACACCAAUUUGCAGUCCCACCAGCAAUGUAUGAGUGUACCUUUUCCCCCACAUCCUCACCAACACUUAUUGUUGUUUGUCUUCAUAAUAGCUGCCAUUCUGACUGGAGUGAGAUAGAGUAGUUUUGACUUGCAUUUCUCUAAUUGCUAGAGAUGAUGAACAUUUUUUCAUAUAUUUGUUGAUUGAUUGUAUAUCCUCUUCUGAGAAGUGUCUGUUGAGGUCCUUGGCCCAUUUGUUGAUUGGGUUAUUUGGGUUUUUUUUGGUGUUUAGCUUUUUGAGUUCUUUAUAUACUCUAGAGAUUCGUGCUCUAUUUGAUGUAUGAGGGAUAAAAAUUUACUCCCAGGAUAUAGGCUCUCUGUUCACCUCACAGAUUGUUUCUUUUGCUGAGAAAAAAAUUUUAGUUUGAUUCCAUCCCAUUUAUUGAUUCUUGGUUUUAAUUCUUACACUAUAGGAAUCUUAUUAAGGAAGUUGGGGCCUAAUCCCACAUGAUGAAGAUUAGGGCUUACUUUUUCAUCUAUUAGAUGCAGAGUCUCUGGUUUAAUUCCUAGGUCCUUUAUCCACUUUGAGUUGAG